CCGCCUACCGGUGGUUACUGUUCGUCGCCGAGCGUUCAGGCGGUUAUUCUUGAUGAUCUUCACCGGUUGUCUCGGGUGACCGCCAAGUUUACUUUGAAAAAAUUAGAGUGCUCAAAGCAGGCGCGACGCCUGAAUAAUUGUGCAUGGAAUAAUGGAAUAGGACCUCGGUUCUAUUUUGUUGGUUUUCGGAACACGAGGUAAUGAUUAAGAGGGACAGACGGGGGCAUUCGUAUUGCGACGCUAGAGGUGAAAUUCUUGGACCGUCGCAAGACGAACUACUGCGAAAGCAUUUGCCAAGAAUGUUUCCAUUAAUCAAGAACGAAAGUUAGAGGUUCGAAGGCGAUCAGAUACCGCCCUAGUUCUAACCAUAAACGAUGCCAGCCAGCAAUCCGCCUGUGUUCCUCAAAUGACACGGCGGGCGGCUUCCGGGAAACCAAAGCUUUUGGGUUCCGGGGGAAGUAUGGUUGCAAAGCUGAAACUUAAAGGAAUUGACGGAAGGGCACCACCAGAAAUGGAGCCUGCGGCUUAAUUUGACUCAACACGGGGAAACUUACCCGGCCCGGACACAGGAAGGAUUGACAGAUUAAGAGCUCUUUCUUGAUUCUGUGGGUGGUGGUGCAUGGCCGUUCUUAGUUGGUGGGGCGACUUGUCUGGUUAAUUCCGAUAACGAACGAGACUCUAGCCUACUAAAUAGACGUUCCGAUCCUCUUUCGUCGGACGUUCUUCUUAGAGGGACAAGCG
rnacentral:rRNA from 1 species